rnacentral:lncRNA from 1 species
GCACUGGUACAGUGCUACAGUCCCGGUUUUCCACACCUACAUCUACCGGUAUUCUUCUUCUACGCAGGUAAAUCCAAGGGCUUUAGGGUUUCCUUUUUGGUUCUUUUUGAGGCAGUGAUGGCUUCGUCGACGAAGACGAACUCCGGCAGUCGGACUCUGGCCGUCACGGUGAUUUGGAUUCGGUCUGAGACAAACCCCGGCAGAUUAGUGUCGUCUAGGGCCAGUGAACGGCGGCGAUUCAGUUGUUAAUUUGACCGGUUCUGACGAGUAGGUGAGGGUUUUGCCCAGAAUCCUGUCAUUACCUAACUCAGAAACGACGAGUAAGAUGAAAUCGGACAAGAUUUGAACAAUGCUGAUUAAGAUGGGUUAUGUUGCUGACCGACGGUGACGAAGAAGUUGCCGGAAAUGAAGAAGCCUAAUCGAGUAAUCGAAAGCCACACCUCCGGCAUUUAAAACCUAAUGGACAACCAUAGGGGAAGAAGAAGCAAGGGAAUGCUGCUAGAUACAUCUCUAGAUCGCAAGCUGUCAAGUAUCUUCACGUCAGUUUAUCCGUUUUCAGGUAUCCAAACUCCCUAAAUUGGAGAGCUUCGUGGUCUCACUUUAGCUAGAUUAUGUUGUCUUAACCAGGCCCACGUUGCCUUUAGAGUUUGGCUUGGGUGUUCCCCUGGGAAACCAUACCGCCGACUGCCACUUGACAGACGUUGUGCCACCACAAGAGCUGAAUACUCUCUGGCAUAAUACACAGUAGGACGAAAACCCAGAUGGACUUAGGAUAGAACAUGACACCUCUGCAAAGAGACUAGACUCUAUAUAUUAUUGCCUAAUCCAUCAAAGUGAUAGAAGUAGUAGAAAUUAAAUUUGAAUCUCCAUUAUUAUAUAUAUCAAAUGAUAACAUAGGUUUGCUACAGUAUUCUGGGGUAUUUUCGUAAUUUCAAUCAUCAUACAAUUCUUUCAACUAUAUCCGAUCCAUUCGUUCUAUCCCUAACCUCCAAAGCAGGUUACCCACCAGGCCACCACCACCGACGCUCUUCCAUCUGCUGAUUGGCAUCACCAUCACCAUCACCACAGAUCGUCUUCCAUCUGCUGCUGCUGCUGAUCAUCGGGUAGCUCCAGAGUAGGUUACGCAUCACCGCCACAACGGAACCCCUUUCAUCUGCUGCUGAUCAUCGUUGAUUGAGACCAUCGCCACUACCGACCUCUUCCGUUUAAUUCUUAGAGAUAGAGAAGUAGAGAGAGGGGGUAGAGUGAAGGGAAGCCGGAAGAGGAGUCGGCCAUGGCCUUCGACCAUCUUCCUCCUGAUUCCAGUGAUAGAAAUAGUAGCUUAUGACCAUGGUGUCGGUUGUAUGUGUUAUGGUGAUAGCGACGAUUCCGGCUAAAUGAGGUAACAAUGGUGGUGGUUGUGGUUCAAGGUGAUGACGAUGGGUAAGUGUACGGUGAUGAAGACGGUGGCUUGAGGUUGUAAAGGUGACAGCAGCGGUGUUGAUAAAGAACAGGGGUGAUGAACUGAUGAUGGUGGUUUCAGCAAAGGGUUGUCGUGCUUUUGAUGGCGGUGAACAGUAACGGCGGUGGUGAUUUAUGAUGGUUGCAGCCGGUGUCGGGUGGUAUUACAUGUACCAGCUUCAUCUUCAUAUGUUGAUUUGUAGAGUAAGUGACAGAUUGUGUGCUUUUAUUUUUAGGGUUUUUUUUUACCAAAUAAUGUUGGGAUGAGUUUUUGAUUUGUGGUUUUUUUUAUCUUCAAAUACGAAGAUAAUGAGGGUGAUUUUGGAUUUGCAGAAAAGUAUAAGAUUGUAGGGUGAUUUUAGAUUUGCAAAAGAUAAUGGUUUGUGAUAUGAGGUUCAUUCAUGAUGAUGAUGAUCUGUAUCAAAAGUAGUGAAAAUCUUGGGAAAAUCAUUUUACUUUAUUUUUUUCUUUUGAAUUGUAUUGCAUUAAAUAUUGUCUAAAAAGUUAUUGAUUUUUUUUGU